UAGUGUUUAGUACAUACAUGUACUAAGUGUUGUAAUUUUUAGCACUCAUAAGAUCCUUGGCAUCUCCACCAUCUCUCGGACAGAGCACUCGGUAGCUCAGACCAGAGAAUUGCAGUGUACCAAGGUUGUUCUUCCCCAAGUCAUUGCUAGAGGUCUGAAUGUUACUGAGGUUGGGCAUGACAUGCAAGCUCAGGUUGCUAAGUACGUGACACACACCCUCAAUCUCAUCAACUCCUAUGACACAUGGCACGGUACUAAGAACGUAGCCCGGGAGCUCAAGAAGGUCACAGAGGGUCGGGUCAGAGAUCGGAACAUAACGUGGUUCCCCUGAACUCUCUGAUAAAAACUCUCUGAUAAACGGCGCAGUGUAACUGGGCCAUGAAGAACUGUGGUGAGGACCCUAACGUUCUACAGCAGAUGGCUCUCAACAUCCCCAACCACUACAAGGGUGAUCAUUCUAACUGCCAUGCCUCGUCUCCCUGUCGUAUGGCUCAGAUUACCAACAAGAAGGCAGAAGAGGAGCUCCUUAGGUGCAUCAAGGCUACCUACGUCUUCAAGAAUGCGGAUGCUUUCUGUCGGUGUCGGGACACGUUCUGGGUAGAGUCAUUCAACCACCAGCUGCUGAUGUACUUGUCCAAACGUAUCCACUAUUCUGACAAGACUUUUCUCAUGAGAAUGAACCUGGCCGUACUUGACUGGAACGAGAAUGUGAAUCGUGCCCACACCAGUAAGAGAAAGGUUAAAGACCUUCGCCGUCCUGACAGGCGUACUGACAUGAAAGCUCUCGUGAGUAAGUCUUAUCAUUUUGCUGGUAUGCUUUGGACAGAGUAUGUCGCAAGGAACGGCGUCGAUUUGAGUGAGUUUGAGGAUAUUGAGCCAGAUGGUGACAACGAUGAAGACUGGCAUGUUACCCCCCCUUCUGCCUAGUGAUGAUAUGGAGUCAGAUUCAGAUAGCGACGACAGAGAAUAGUCCCUGUAGGUCCCAUCGACACUAGGGUAUCGCCUUCUUAUUUCCUGUGUAAUGAUAACUGUACUCCUCAUCUCCCCACAGACCCACGUCCUGGAGCAACCUCCAAAACUUCCGAUACAACCGGUGCCUCUUUUCAUCAUUUGCUGGAUGAGGUCCACAGGCACCGGUUAGGAAGUCUGGAGGAAGAGCAAUCACACACGGCCCACAGAGGCAGUGUGGACAGCAGUCCUGCAGUCCCUGUAAGACAGGGACGAGGGCAGAGUCUCUGUAACCCCGUGGAUGACUUGGAGAGAGAGCUGCGGACAAAUAAGUUUUAAUAAAAUAUCAUUGAUUAUCAUGUUUAUUAACCUCGAUUAUCCGGCCCUCGAUUAUCCGGAACCUCGAUUAUCCGGCUUGGCAGUUUUCUUUUUAAUCAGAUUACAUAAUUCAGAAAAUGGGCGUGUCCCUCAAAUGCGCAUGCGCGUUGCAGCUGUUACCAUGGAGACAUGCCUGCUUUUCUUUUGCGCAUGCGCAGACAACAUGUGGCACUGCUGUUCAUCAAUAAAGUGGGUGGAUCAAGGCGUGGUUUAUCUAUUCGAUUAUCCGGCAUAUUCACUUAUCCGGCCUGCUUCUGGAACCAA